UCGCAAAAAACCUCAAACCAUCAAAUCCAUUUUCACAAUUUCUCUCAGAAUCGGCGCUUUUCCCUCGCUCACCGCUUCAUCGUCAACAAAUCUCAACCGUAGCCGCACUACAAGCCCAUAUGGACGGAAAACCCAUGAAGAAAUCUUGGUCGUCGGCUGACAACUGAACUGCAACAUCGUCUUGACUCACCCUAGCAUCAGUAGAUUCUAACUUCAAACCUUCUCCGACCCUUCUACCCAAAAGCUUUCUCAUCGAUUUAUCAUCAGGCCUGAAGCCAAACCAGAACCAAAAGAAAUCGAAGAGAGUUCUGAACCUCUUCUCAAAUACAAGAUUUUGCAACAGCAGUUGCAUGGGAGUCAGGGAAGCCGUUGGUGAUGGAGAGGGUGAAGGUUGCUCCACCUAAGGCCAUGGAAAUGAGGGUAAAGGUCAAAGAUACCUCAGUUUAUUACACUAAACUCUACUCUGCCGAAG